ACGUUGUAAUAUUAGUACACACUAGUAUAACAGUUUAUACCUAAAUGAACUACAAGUCCCACUUGUUUGUUCGUCCACAAGGAAGAUGCGAGCAAAUUAAUCGAUGACGCCCAAGACCAUAGACUAAAACCGGAUUCCCGACAACCAGCAUAAUCACUACGAGCUAGCCAUUCAUAAAUUGCUAUUUAUAACCUGUAUAUAUUUUUAUGGACAUGAUUCAUGAAUUGACAGUUGAAGAUACGGUUUAAAAAACAAUUUCAAUCAUCUACAGUUAUAUCACUGAAGAAUGAAUUUGGUCUGUUUUUUAUCUAUUUCUGAAUGUAUAAUUGUACACUGUAAUAUAUAGUUGCAAUAAGUGCGUCACACGACAAAUCAAAGGACAGUAACAAGGAAGUGUAACGUUAGCAAAACGCACGGAGGAAGACGGCGGCGACGGCAAAGGUACCAUCCAAUCGGCGGGCUCCACUCGUGUCACGUGACUCACCGUGAUGGCCUGGAAGAGCUGGAACGUCCCGCCCAGCCAGACGUAGACGGCGGACUCGAUCUGCGUGGACGCGCCGUCGAACGUGUUGGCCACCGCCAGGAAGUGGUAGGGGCCCGCAGUGAAGAACUCCCAGUCGUACGCCCCCGAGGUCCGGAUGGUCUGGUUCACUUCGAAGGCCUUCGCGCCCGGGUUCCACUUGUAGAUCACGCUGUUGAUGUUGUGGUUGUUGUCUCCUGAAAAUAAAUAAAUAAAUAAAUAAAUAAA